CCCUUAGAUGUUCGGGGCUGCACAUGCGCUACACUGAAGGAAUCAACGUGUAUUUGCCCUUGCCCGAAGGGGUUGGGUAACCCGUUGAACCUCCUUCGUGCUAGGGAUUGGGGCUUGUAAUUAUUCCCCAUGAACGAGGAAUUCCCAGUAAGCGCGAGUCAUAAGCUCGCGUUGAUUACGUCCCUGCCCUUUGUACACACCGCCCGUCGCUACUACCGAUUGAAUGGUUUAGUGAGAUCCUCGGAUUGGUCCCGCCACGGGAGGAAACUUUCGAGGCGGAGUGCCGAGAAGACGAUCAAACUUGAUCAUUUAGAGGAAGUAAAAGUCGUAACA
rnacentral:rRNA from 1 species